rnacentral:rRNA from 1 species
UAGUCUGCAACCCGACUACAUGAAGCCGGAAUCGCUAGUAAUCGCGGAUCAGAAUGCCGCGGUGAAUACGUUCCCGGGUCUUGUACACACCGCCCGUCACACCAUGGGAGUUGGAAAUGCCCGAAGUCAGUGGCCCAACCGGAAGGGGGAGCUGCCGAAGGCAGGUUCGAUGACUGGGGUGAAGUCGUAACAAGGUACC